rnacentral:misc_RNA from 1 species
AGAGUCAAACAGUGCGUGAAAUUGUUGAAAGGGAAACGAUUAAAGUCAGUCGUACCGACGAGUAAUCAACGUUUCGAAUGCGAUUUUGUGGCUCAUGAGGAAUCUAACGAUCUUCAUGUUUACAAAUUUGUGUUCUUUGGGUGUACUUGCUCGUAUGGUAAGUUAACAUCAAUUUCGUUUGUUAUAAAAUGAUUGGGGAAAUGUAGCUUUGAUCUCGUAUUGAAGUGUUAUAGACCCUGGUAGAUGUAAUGAUCGGGAUUGAGGAUUGCAACGGAUGCUCUUCGGGGCUAUUCGUCUGGCCUCUGAGGGUCACCUUAGUGUCGAAAGCUUGCUUAUGGCUUUAAGGAUGGUGUUCAAAAGGUUAGAACGGAUUAAAUUCGUUAAGGAUGUUGACGUAAUGGCUUUAAACGA